ensembl:snoRNA small nucleolar RNA SNORA42/SNORA80 family
GCUUGGGUUUGGAUUGAUGGCAGGCCUGUCCCUCUGGGUCUCUCAUAUGCCCCAGGCCAGAGCACGCUGCAGCCUUGAACCAUCGCCCGGCCUCUGCUCAUAGGCUGCAGGAACCGAAGCAGGUUGCACAGUG